GCAUCUCACCUGGGUCCUCUGGAGGAAACAUGGCCUGGCAAACACUUUGAUUUCAAAUUUCAGCCUCCGGGAUCAUGAAAGAAUUCUAUUGCUUUAAGCGACCAAGGUUGUAGUCACUGGUUUUCUUGGCCCUUGAAAGGUGCAUUGGAGCCUCUUUCAAAAGCCCACUUGGUUCUUGAUCUCUCACAAGUUCUACACUGUGGAAGCAGCAUUCUCAGCCCAGCAAAUGUCAGCUGCGGUUCAGCCUGGUUGAGUUCAAAUGUUCAGUUUUGCAGGAAGGCAACACCAAGAUCACUGAAACUAAAACCGAAGAGGAAGCAUACCAAGUUAGGUUUCGUGACUUCCUCCCCAAAUACCAAAGAAAAGAGAUCUGGACAAGAUCACCAGAAUAGCAUCUGUAGUCACUGUCAGCUCUGUUCAGUGUCCUUGUCUCUGUGAGUCCUGCUCUGUGUGUCCUGCUUAGGGCCAUGGUUAUCUAAAAAACUGAGGUCACUAAGACAAAGUAGUCACUCAUAAAAUUAAAAGUGAAGCCACCAGUGACAAUGUUCUUAGGCAACAUUGCAUU
rnacentral:lncRNA from 1 species